rnacentral:sRNA from 1 species
UCCAUAUCACUAUCAUCACUGCUACAAA